UAGGAUUGUUGUAUGCAGCAAUGCAAUUCGUCUUGUAUUUAUAUGCCAAUGAAAUUAUAGACGUUGCAAAUGACCGUUGAUGAAGAUAAGAUUGUCAGCUUGAACUUGUCUUGACAUGAAUUUGAAUAGCAUCCAAAUCUGAACAAGAGUUUCAGCUACUUUGCCUUGAUGCAGAGAAGACUUUCCAUUCUUAGCUAAGAAGACAGACAAACCACGUUCCUUCCUUAAGACUAGGGAUUAUGUAAGAAGGCUAUCCUGAAGCAUUUGUGAAGUCGCUUUCUUCAUUGAUAAAAGUGUUGAUGCAGUGAUUCAAACUUCA
rnacentral:lncRNA from 1 species